rnacentral:rRNA from 1 species
UGAACGCUAGCUACAGGCUUAACACAUGCAAGUCGAGGGGAAACGACAUCGAAAGCUUGCUUUUGAUGGGCGUCGACCGGCGCACGGGUGAGUAACGCGUAUCCAACCUGCCCACCACUUGGGGAUAACCUUGCGAAAGUAAGACUAAUACCCAAUGAUAUCUCUAGAAGACAUCUGAAAGAGAUUAAAGAUUUAUCGGUGAUGGAUGGGGAUGCGUCUGAUUAGCUUGUUGGCGGGGUAACGGCCCACCAAGGCGACGAUCAGUAGGGGUUCUGAGAGGAAGGUCCCCCACAUUGGAACUGAGACACGGUCCAAACUCCUACGGGAGGCAGCAGUGAGGAAUAUUGGUCAAUGGACGAGAGUCUGAACCAGCCAAGUAGCGUGCAGGAUGACGGCCCUAUGGGUUGUAAACUGCUUUUAUAAGGGAAUAAAGUGAGUCUCGUGAGACUUUUUGCAUGUACCUUAUGAAUAAGGACCGGCUAAUUCCGUGCCAGCAGCCGCGGUAAUACGGAAGGUCCGGGCGUUAUCCGGAUUUAUUGGGUUUAAAGGGAGCGUAGGCCGGAGAUUAAGCGUGUUGUGAAAUGUAGACGCUCAACGUCUGCACUGCAGCGCGAACUGGUUUCCUUGAGUACGCACAAAGUGGGCGGAAUUCGUGGUGUAGCGGUGAAAUGCUUAGAUAUCACGAAGAACUCCGAUUGCGAAGGCAGCUCACUGGAGCGCAACUGACGCUGAAGCUCGAAAGUGCGGGUAUCGAACAGGAUUAGAUACCCUGGUAGUCCGCACGGUAAACGAUGGAUGCCCGCUGUUGGUCUGAAUAGGUCAGCGGCCAAGCGAAAGCAUUAAGCAUCCCACCUGGGGAGUACGCCGGCAACGGUGCAACUCAAAGGAAUUGACGG